GCUCAUUUAAGUGUUUAGUUUCCGUAGAGCAUAAAGCCCUGGAAAAAAGCCAAUGAUAACAGUAGAUCUGGAAAAGCUAUUUUUAAUAUGCACUAGAAGACGGCUGGCUUUGUCUAGUGAUUCACUACCCCGAGAAAGAAAAAAAUGUACAUAAAAAAGCAGUUUUCUUGGAACUGGACCUUGGAGAAGUAGAGUACAAUAAAAGGAGCUUCUGGCUAGAGUGUUUGAUGCCUCAUGAGUCACAGUGUGAAGGUACCUUUCUUUUGUGGGCAGCCGCGACAGCGCACAGAGCACGACCGAGAGGAGCUACCCCACGUCCGAGGUCAGGGGCAGAAGCUGGGAGGACCCCAUGCCCGAGGGUCGGCAGCCAAGAGGAGUUACCCUACGUCCGAGGUCAGGUGCAGCAGCCCAGAGUGCCAGGCUGUGACGGCGCAGGAACUGCUGAGAGGAGCUACCCACUGCCCGAGGCCAGGGGGCGGUGGCUGAGACGAGCAACCCCACGUCCAAG
ensembl:lncRNA